UACGUAGGGUGCGAGCGUUGUCCGGAAUUAUUGGGCGUAAAGGGCUCGUAGGCGGUUUGUCGCGUCGGGAGUGAAAACACCGGGCUUAACUCGGUGCUUGCUUUCGAUACGGGCAGACUAGAGGUAUGCAGGGGAGAACGGAAUUCCUGGUGUAGCGGUGAAAUGCGCAGAUAUCAGGAGGAACACCGGUGGCGAAGGCGGUUCUCUGGGCAUGACCUGACGCUGAGGAGCGAAAGCGUGGGGAGCGAACAGG
rnacentral:rRNA from 1 species